rnacentral:rRNA from 1 species
GACGAACCGAGCGAACGUUGUUCGGAAUCACUAGGCUUAAAGGGCGCGUAGGCGGGUGCUCAAGUCCGGGGUGGAAAUCCCACAGCUCAACUGUGGAACUGCCUCGGAUACUGGGUGUCUCGAGGGUGGUAGGGGUAUGCGGAACUAUCGGUGGAGCGGUGAAAUGCGUUGAUAUCGAUAGGAACACCGGUGGCGAAGGCGGCAUCCUGGACCGAUACUGACGCUGAGGAGCGAAAGCCAGGGGAGCAAACGGG